AUUGAACGCUGGCGGCAGGCUUAACACAUGCAAGUCGAACGGUAACAGGUCUUCGGACGCUGACGAGUGGCGAACGGGUGAGUAAUACAUCGGAACGUGCCCAGUCGUGGGGGAUAACUACUCGAAAGAGUAGCUAAUACCGCAUACGAUCUGAGGAUGAAAGCGGGGGACCUUCGGGCCUCGCGCGAUUGGAGCGGCCGAGGGCAGAUUAGGUAGUUGGUGGGAUAAAAGCUUACCAAGCCGACGAUCUGGAGCUGGUCUGAGAGGACGACCAGCCACACUGGGGCUGAGACACGGCCCAGACUCCUACGGGAGGCAGGAGUUGGGAAUUGUGGACAAUGGGCGAAAGCCUGAUCCUGCAAUGCCGCGUGCAGGAUGAAGGCCUUCGGGUUGUAAACUGCUUUUGUACGGAACGAAAAAGCUUCUCCUAAUACGAGAGGCCCAUGACGGUACCGUAAGAAUAAGCACCGGCUAACUACGUGCCAGCCGCCGCGGUAA
rnacentral:rRNA from 1 species